GAUGAACGCUGGCGGCGUGCCUAAUACAUGCAAGUCGAGCGAACAGACGAGGAGCUUGCUCCUCUGACGUUAGCGGCGGACGGGUGAGUAACACGUGGAUAACCUACCUAUAAGACUGGGAUAACUUCGGGAAGCCGGAGCUAAUACCGGAUAAUAUAUUGAACCGCAUGGUUCAAUAGUGAAAGACGGUUUUGCUGUCACUUAUAGAUGGAUCCGCGCCGCAUUAGCUAGUUGGUAAGGUAACGGCUUACCAAGGCGACGAUGCGUAGCCGACCUGAGAGGGUGAUCGGCCACACUGGAACUGAGACACGGUCCAGACUCCUACGGGAGGCAGCAGUAGGGAAUCUUCCGCAAAGGGCGAAAGCCUGACGGAGCAACGCCGCGUGAGUGAUGAAGGUCUUCGGAUCGUAAAACUCUGUUAUUAGGGAAGAACAAAUGUGUAAGUAACUAUGCACGUCUUGACGGUACCUAAUCAGAAAGCCACGGCUAACUACGUG
rnacentral:rRNA from 1 species